rnacentral:rRNA from 1 species
UUCCUACGGGAGGCAGCAGUAGGGAAUCUUCCGCAAUGGACGAAAGUCUGACGGAGCAACGCCGCGUGAGUGAUGAAGGUUUUCGGAUCGUAAAGCUCUGUUGUUAGGGAAGAACAAGUGCCGUUCAAAUAGGGCGGCACCUUGACGGUACCUAACCAGAAAGCCACGGCUAACUACGUGCCAGCAGCCGCGGUAAUACGUAGGUGGCAAGCGUUGUCCGGAAUUAUUGGGCGUAAAGGGCUCGCAGGCGGUUUCUUAAGUCUGAUGUGAAAGCCCCCGGCUCAACCGGGGAGGGUCAUUGGAAACUGGGGAACUUGAGUGCAGAAGAGGAGAGUGGAAUUCCACGUGUAGCGGUGAAAUGCGUAGAGAUGUGGAGGAACACCAGUGGCGAAGGCGACUCUCUGGUCUGUAACUGACGCUGAGGAGCGAAAGCGUGGGGAGCGAACAGGAUUAGAUACCCUGGUAGUCCA